AUUGAACGCUGGCGGCAGGCCUAACACAUGCAAGUCGAACGGUAACAGGAAGCAGCUUGCUGCUUUGCUGACGAGUGGCGGGCGUGUGUGUAAUGUCUGGGAAACUGCCUGAUGGAGGGGGAUAACUACUGGAAACGGUAGCCAAUACCGCAUAACGUCGCAAGCCCAAAGAGGGGGACUUUCGGGCCUCUUGCCUUCGGAUGUGCCCAGAUGGGAUUAGCUAGUAGGUGGGGUAACGGCUCACCUAGGCGACGAUCCCUAGCUGGUCUGAGAGGGUGACCAGCCACACUGGAACUGAGACACGGUCCAGACUCCUACGGGAGGCAGCAGUAGGGAAUAUUGCACAAUGGGCGCAAGCCUGAUGCAGCCAUGCCGCGUGUAUGAAGAAGGCCUUCGGGUUGUAAAGUACUUUCAGCAGGGAAGAAGGGAUUAAAGUUAAUACCUUUGCUCAUUGACGUUACCCGCAGAAGAAGCACCGGCUAACUCCGUG
rnacentral:rRNA from 1 species